rnacentral:rRNA from 1 species
UACGGGGGGAGCAAGCGUUGUUCGGAUUUACUGGGCGUAAAGGGCGCGUAGGCGGUCAGCACAAGUCAGUUGUGAAAUCUCCGGGCUUAACCCGGAAAGGUCAACUGAUACUGUGCGACUAGAGUGCGGAAGGGGCAACUGGAAUUCUCGGUGUAGCGGUGAAAUGCGUAGAUAUCGGGAGGAACACCAGUGGCGAAGGCGGCCUUCUGGCUCAUAACUGACGCUGUAGCGCGAAAGCGUGGGGAGCGAACCGGG